rnacentral:tRNA from 1 species
GGGUACAUAGCUCAAUGGUAGAGCAUCUGUCUUACAAACAGAGGGUUAUAGGUUCAAGUCCUUUUGUGCUCA